rnacentral:RNase_P_RNA from 1 species
AGGCCCCGCAAGGGGCGCGGGGAGACCCGCGGCAACGGCACAGAAACGAAACGGCCGCCCCCGCAUGUCUAUGACGCGGCGAGGGCUCCCCGGCAACGGGGGGCCAGUAACCCGCCGAGCAUGGGGGCGGACGCGUUGAAGCGGCCGCCCCUCCGGGAGCAAGACCGAGCAGCGCCGAUGAGUGGCCGUGUGAGGCGCGGGUAGGCCGCCUAGUCGGAUGUUGCCGCAGUACGGAAGGCGGGUUAUAGCCGGCACCG